CUCCCACAUCUGUAGACAAAUGCCUCACAGACUUUUCUGGUUCCAGAUCAUUUGGUUGAGAAAAAAGACUCCAAGGGCCCACCCAUUUCAACCUCCUAAUGAAGCAGCAACCAGGUAUGGACAAUUCUCUGAGCUGUGUCCACAUGACAAUAGCUUAUCUAGGCUCACAAACUGCAGGCACAAAUCUGAAAUGCCAGCAGCGCCUCACAUAUCUAGAAAGAGAGCAUUUGGAUGUAGAACUGGAAGGGGCUUUGAGGACCAGAAUCAAAUUAUCCAAGAAAGAAUGAUAAAACAGUGGUUAUAACUGUGCCAGAAAUAGGAUAAGCUAGAAGGAGUGUAGAUGAAUGACUUUAUUGAAGUUCUAGAAGGAAAAAAUAUGGAUUCCACGUGUCCUAAAUCCAGAUAUUGUUCUCAAAAGACCAUAUUUAAUAGCUGAACGAAGCAAAGAACAAAAUAAUGCCCUUCGGGGAGAAAUAGAGAAGCUGAAACCAAUAACUGCCUAGUCUACGUUUAUGACUUUUCCUGACUGAGCAGCUCUUGGCUCAAACCUAAUCGAGUCAAGACAUUCACUACCACGUUGGCUUUUUACCUGGACUCAUGUCAGCCUCCUUGGCUAAUUUCUUCAGUUCAGCACCUGUCCUUCACGCCAUCCUUUAAUGAAAAAGGCAGGAAAAUGACAAGCUUUGCUUUACCCUGCUGGGCAAAGAAGCGACAAUUUCACUUCCUUCUCGGAGAGGGCAUUCUCUCCUCCCUUUUCUGCAGUCCUGCUGUGGCCAAGAGGAGAGUGUGCGGCAUCUGGAUUUGACAGUUCAGAUGUUCUGUGACACCAGAUUCAGUCCUCAAGGAUUCCUUUCUCUUUGGACUGAGGGCCACUGAUUUCUGUCUCAGGAGUAAACGGCCCCUUUUCUGGUUCUCUGUCUGCUGCUCCCGGUUUUCCUCUGCUUGUAUUUUCCAAGUUGGUCUGUGUCCCAGCUGUGUUCCCCACAAUCCCUCCGCUUAAUGCGACUUGGCGCUGGCUCCUUUUAGUCACUGGUGUGUUCUGAAUCAAGCUCGUGAAAGCUGCUUCCUUGGAAAUUGUUAACACGGUCUCAUUCCACAGGCAAAACUUCGCAGCCCUGUGCGAUCCUCAUCUGUAGUAAAGCAACCCCAAGUUCCAAAUUGGCUUUUAUAGAAGAGCCUGGAAUUGGUUCCUAGCAAUGAGUGCUAAAAUUUGUCAGUUCCAUUAGCCAGGAGAGAUGAGAAAAUAUUUCUUCUUUUAGCUUGCCCCUUCCCCUGAACCCCUGACCCCGCAAAGGCAAAAAAGAAGUAAAAUCUAGCUCCUCUCAAUUAAUGGGGGCAACUAGCUGUUUUAAUGUUUUGACUAAAGAAAUCUUCCCAUUAAAUAAUAAACAGGCCAAAUAAGGACA
rnacentral:lncRNA from 1 species